AUUGAACGCUGGCGGCAUGCCUUACACAUGCAAGUCGAACGGCAGCACGGGUUCUUGCACUUGGUGGCGAGUGGCGAACGGGUGAGUAAUACAUCGGAACGUACCUUAUCGUGGGGGAUAACGCAGCGAAAGCUGUGCUAAUACCGCAUACGCCCUGAGGGGGAAAGCGGGGGAUCGCAAGACCUCGCGCGAUUAGAGCGGCCGAUGCCUGAUUAGCUUGUUGGUGGGGUAGAAGCCCACCAAGGCGACGAUCAGUAGCUGGGCUGAGAGGACGAUCAGCCACACUGGGAGUGAGACGCGGCCCAGACUCCUACGGGAGGCAGCAGUGGGGAAUUGUGGACAAUGGGGGCGACCCUGAUCCAGCAAUGCCGCGUGAGUGAAGAGGGCCUUCGGGUUGUAAAGCUCUUUUGUCAGGGAAGAAACACCGGCUCUAACACAGUCCGGGAAUGACGGUACCUGAAGAAUAAGCACCGGCUAACUACGUGCCAGCCGCCGCCGUAA
rnacentral:rRNA from 1 species